GUCUUAAAGAAAUUAAUUUUAAGUCUAAUCUGCCCAAUGAAUUUAUUUAAAUGGCUGCAGUAUAAAUAACUGUGCAAAGGUAGCAUAAUAAUUUGUUUUUUAAUUAAAAACUAGAAUGAAAGAUUUAAUGAAAUAAAAACUGUUUCAAUUAAAAUUAUCUAAAUUUUUAUUUAAGUUAAAAAACUUAAAUUUUUUAUAAAGACGAUAAGACCCUAUAGAAUUUUAUUUUUUAAAUAAAAAAAAGUUUUAUUUUAAAAAUUUAAUUGGGGUAAUUAAAAAAUUUAAUUAAUUUUUUUUUAAAAAAACAUUAAUAAAUGAAUUAACUUUAUCUUAAUUUUUAAUAUAAAAAAAUUAAUUACCUUAGGGAUAACAGCAUAAUUUUUUUUGAAAGUUCUUAUUAAUAAAAAAGAUUAU
rnacentral:rRNA from 1 species